GGCGCGUUCGUCUAGCGGUUAGGACGCCGGCCUCUCACGCCGGUAGCACGGGUUCGAUUCCCGUACGCGCUA
rnacentral:tRNA from 1 species